ACUGAACGCUGGCGGCAGGCUUAACACAUGCAAGUCGAGCGGAGAGAGGUAGCUUGCUACCGAUCUUAGCGGCGGACGGGUGAGUAAUGCUUAGGAAUCUGCCUAUUAGUGGGGGACAACAUUUCGAAAGGAAUGCUAAUACCGCAUACGUCCUACGGGAGAAAGCAGGGGAUCUUCGGACCUUGCGCUAAUAGAUGAGCCUAAGUCGGAUUAGCUAGUUGGUGGGGUAAAGGCCUACCAAGGCGACGAUCUGUAGCGGGUCUGAGAGGAUGAGCCGCCACACUGGGACUGGGACACGGCCCAGACUCCUACGGGAGGCAGCAGUGGGGAAUAUUGGACAAUGGGCGCAAGCCUGAUCCAGCCAUGCCGCGUGUGUGAAGAAGGCCUUAUGGUUGUAAAGCACUUUAAGCGAGGAGGAGGCUACUUUAGUUAAUACCUAGAGAUAGUGGACGUUACUCGCAGAAUAAGCACCGGCUAACUCUGUGCCAGCAGCCGCGGUAA
rnacentral:rRNA from 1 species